CGGACAUUCCACUACCCCCCGACAAACCUCCCUCAGAUUUUGGUUCCUUCUGGUCCAGCUCCUCCCUCUUCUUCGUCUGCUUACGCUCCUUCGCCCGACGGUUUUGGAACCAGAUUUUCACCUGCGGGGAAAGAGGUUAAUGGGCCUCGUAUACUACGAGGACCGCACAUCCCCCAACGCACGGUCUAACGUCUUCUAAGCCUUUUCGCUCACACCCACUUCCGGUGAUCCUGCGGGUACCGCGACGUAAAAAAUCCUCUCCAAACAUGUGAAUGAGAAAUUGAAUCGGGAGAUUACCCAGUUGUAAUUACACGGACGACUGGGUACCCUGCAAGCAUUUUAUAAGCUCAGUAAUUAAAUCCGCUGCUCGCCCCGACGUAAAACAAGAACCCCCGGGGGUUGUCCGACCCCGAUGUCCACCGCCAACCCCCCGCGUCUCAUCGUGGCGCGGAAUGGUCGCUGCCAGUGGUAUAACAGAGUUUCAAUUUUAAUUAAAAACGGAACACCGAUUGCCGUUCUUCACCGACGUUCGAUUGGUCUCCUAUAUAUACAUUCGUCCUUUGUCACGUCCUGGGGUUUGUACAUACGUCUACAUAGCUAUGCGGUCUCCUCAAUUCAUUGACGCGGUUCGUCCUGCGGUUCGUCGUCUUCGCAUUCAGCGACAUAAACCAACUCGUCAAUUUCAAGAAUCCUAAGUGAAGUCAGAAUUAUUACGGCACCGCAAGCUGUUGCAUAUAAUACGCUGUUUACACCAAAUUCGUCAUUUCUAGCGAAACCGGCCAUCGGUCUCUUCAGCAACAGUUACAGUCAAGGUCAUUUUCUUCUUCGACUCUUCAAUGACAAACAGAAGCGAGCCAUUCGAGUUCCUAUAGAAAUUAUUACGACUGCACCGACCACUGACCGGUUACUGUCAACUCAUGUAGUCACAACAAUCAUUAAAUAUGACGCAAAGUGAUUUACGAGACUAGAUGCGGAAAGACUCAACACAAUACUCACAGUUAUCGGUCUCAAAGUGCUCGUACAACGCCAUUUUUUGAGCAUUGAACAUCGCGUUGUAUAGUACAAUUAUCUACGUAAUACGAAUGCAUAUGUGCAGCAUAGCUUGAUGAAAAUUAGAGGUACCUAUAAUGUAUUUGUGAUCGUGAAAAGCUUCGGAAUCUUGAUAUUUUUCUUUGAACGAACGCGCGACCCCGUUUGUGAGAUAUCUGCGUAAGUCGCGUAGAUAUAGCUAUAACUGCAAUUUCUGCACAGGAGGUCCUCCGUCUCUGGGUCACAGAUUAAGUCAGGGAUAAGGUCCUGCGAGCCACGUUUGGGACUUUACAACGUAGUUCCCUAGCGGUAUAUAGAAUCGGAGUCUUUUCAAUUCCUUCUUAAACAAUGUUAAUUUUACUGCCGCAUGGUCUUUAUAAUCUUUGCCGGUAUAGAGAAAAAUGCCAGGGGUAUUAUGACUGCCUCCGCUCGUGCACGCGUAUAGUACUUCGGAGUAUCCUGCGAUCCACCUUUUUCGGUCUUGCAGCAACGCAGGUAAACUUUUCUUACCGGUUCCUCCGGCAUGUACGGCGCUUUAUGACGAGGACUGCAUAGGAAGGACUUCGCGGCAACUAGCUUAGCUUGCAGUAAAAAAAUACAUAGCAUAUAUACCUGUACAUAUGGACGUAUUUAUGUAUUUAUUUGUACAUGACGCAGAAUAACGCGCUACCUCUAUAUUCUGUACAUAGUAUAAUUUGGGACGAAGUAAAGGUCUUGCUGCAGCUAUGGGCGCGUUUCGCGCCCUUCAGUUCUUAUGCAGGCGCUGCUGAUUUUAUAGCACCGCACUUAGAGGUAUUAGGAAGAGAAACGAGUAACUAAAUACACUUUAUUUUCCUACAAAGAUACGGAAACCUUUCCGAUAAUCCGUGACGCUUUGACGAAAAGUAUUGUACAUAUUGUACCAUUCCAGUCUUUCGGAGUAAAGUGCAUAAACUUUUUUCGACCCACACACAAUCGUGCGUACAGCGAUUAGCGACUAUUUUACAUAAAAUCUUGUUUUUCGUUCGAAGUCUGUCUUCGUGAAACGUUUGCCUCGUCCUUGAUGAAUGUUGAGCGGAUCUUUGGAAAAAAUUCAGAUGAUGGGAGAAAAUGACAGAAUUCACAGCUAAAUUUAAUCUGGAAUUAGUGUUUAUUAUCAUUUGUUGAGUUUUCAUUUAUUACGGUCUAACCCGGACUUUUGCAGGGUGGUUGUGGAAUUAAAUC